rnacentral:lncRNA from 1 species
AUAACUCUCAAAACCUGGUGUCAAUAAUAUAAGAACUACUAAUACAAUCUCGGAGUCAAAUACAUCAGAAAAAUAACCAGGAAAGAAAAUAUCUAUCUUCGAACACUAAUAAAAAACAUAACUAAUAUAGAAAGAUAGAAGUGAACUCUGGACGCAUGAAUGUCAAACCUCUACUUUGGAAGCUCCAAUAAUCGGCCGAGUUUAGCAAGUUGAAGCACACUUAGGCUAGGACCUGCACCAAAAGGGCGCAGUGGGCAUGCCCACUUGUACUCAGUAGGUAUCAUAGGCUGACCAAACAAAAUAGUAAAUAAAGUGUACAAAAUAUACACUAAGGCCACAUCACCUGCAAUCAGAAAAUAUCCCAUAACUGUAACCCACACCGCUUGCACUAAUAGUUUUAAUAUAUCACAUAUAUUAUAAUAUCACACCAAGAUAGAAAAUAAGUAUACAUUAUAUCACAUAUAAGUAGAAAAGGGGAGAAUAUAUAUAUACAAAACCAUCAAAUAUAAUUAAAGAAAGAUACGAUAAAUACAUAGAUGACAAGUCAAUAUGACAAUACAACACAACAUAACACAAUAAAGUAAGUGCAAUGUAUAUGAUAAUGAUGAUGAUGCAUGAGGUCGUCGCACAACCUCUGGGAUCGUCGCACAAUCCCUGUAUACAUCUACGGAGCUAAAGCUUCCCAGCUUAGGACCCAUGGGGGGUUCAUCAACCCGUAUACAAGCCAUAUAUCUCAUAUCUUCUUUUCGGCACAUCCCUCGGAAAGAGUUUUAUAAGGUAUUACAACAUCUCCUCUUUGAUACAUCCCUUUGGGAGGGUUUUUAAAAAAAUGUUGACAGUGUUAUACUGGUGUUGCCACGGUGGUACCAAUGUUUCAUGAAUGAGUAUGAUAUGAGGAUGUAAUUCUUACAACCAAUCAUAAUGAGUGUUUCACAAUCAACCACAUGAAAUAUUUCCACAACCAACAACAAUGAUAUAUUUCCACAACCAUGUGAGUCAAUAUCCACUCAUUAUUUUUGUUUUAUCCAUGAAUUUCCACAUGUCUCAUAUGCCAAUAAAGUAGGAAUAUAAUCAUAAUACACCAAUGGUACCAUAUUAAGCUUUUUAACAACAUAAAAUAAUUAUUCAUAUGUAUUCAAGGCUAUCAAUAUCACAUAGGACCCCAUGCGGUCACACAUAUCAUGAUAAAGCAUGAUAAAGCAUCAUCAGUGAGACUCCUCAUGAAUAAAUUAAUAAGAAUCUGCUCAUUUUUACCAACUCCAACUAGUUUGUCACAGUAUAGUUUCAAAUGGACUUUCGGAUAUGCAAUCCCAUUAUACAAUUCAAAUUUAGAAGGUUUGUACCCCUUCAACAGCUCAACGUCAUGGUGCAUGCACAGGUCCUCGUAACUUAUCCCUUUCAACCCCUUAUUGCUUUCAAGUUAUUCCAAUCUUUCAACCACGAAUUGCAUAAGGGUGGCAUUUUCUGGAGGUUUGGAUUCAUAUUGGUGAUGGUUUUCGACAUAAAUUGAAUGUGAAAUAUGAUUGUCUGGAUAAUGGAAAUAGGAAUAUUUGUGGUAAACAUUGGCGGCAUAUUCUGGAUGCAUGAUGUUAUUUGUGAAUUUAGUGGAGCUGGAUAUAUGCGAUAUUGUGGUGGGCAAAAAUAUGGAUGUUGGUUAUUUUUAUGAAGCAUAUAUAUGUGACUUGGAUUAUAUGGAGGUAGUGAAAUAGUAAGGGAUGUUACUAGAUGACUGUGAAUAUGGGAUGGGAUUUAAUAACGGUGUUACCCUCAGCUUGUGGUUUGAGAGAAGCAUUCAAAGUAAGGGAUAGAUUGGACAAGUUACGAGCUUGUGACAAUUCCCCUUCUAAUUGAAGGAUUCUUUGUUCCGUGCGUAAGAUCAUCUUAUUAUGCUCAUUUAUAGUUUCGUUGUUAUUACCCAUUUCCUUGUCUUCUUGACUUAGCUUUAAAAGAAGAAGACCGAGCCUUUGUCGACUAAUGUGAUGGGCGAAAGAAUACAUGAAUCAAUCUUUGGGGUGUAGGAGAAAAAUUAAAAUCAAUAAACAUAAAUAAAAAAAAGUCAAGUUAGUAAGGUGAAGGUGACAUAUGGUAAAAGAAUAAACAUGUUAAUUUGUAAGACUAAAAUAUUGUAUAAUGAAUGGAGCCUUAUUAAGUCUAAGGUACGCCUAGGAUGACAAAUAUAUGUGACUUAUGAUGAGAAACAAAAAGUAUGCACGGGAGUAUAGAAAAGAUAUUUUACUCAUUUGAGAAUACUGAGCUAUGCUCAUUCGAAGUGAAUAGAAGUUAUGAGAGCUCUAUGUAAAUUAGAGGUUGUGAAAAUUAGAGUAUGACAUGAGUAUGACAACAUCAUGAUGGGACAAAAGUAUGUAAGCGUUAGCAACAUUAGGAAAAGAAUAUCCUAAAAUAAUAGGUUGUAUGAAAAACCGUUCAUCAAAGCAAGAGUUGAGCCUAGGGAUGAGUAAUAUACUAACGGAUGAGUCAGGAGGAUAUUUUUGCUAGACCCUAAGAGUGUAUUGUAGGGUCCUAACAUGAUAAGAACUUUGAGAGUAAAGACUCUAAAAUAAGGAAUACUAAGAAUAGGGGGCGUUUAGGACAAGGAGGACAACAACAAUAUCGGUAAGAUAUAAGUGCAUACAUAGUAAUGCAACACAUAGCAAAUAGUAUUAUGCAUCCUUUUGGGGUCGUAAAACUCCUUGGACUUUGAAUGAGACUAACAUUCAACGCAUCAAGGGUGGCAAGGCAUCCUACGUUGAAUGGGAUGUAUAUUCCUUAAUAAAAGAAAUAUGUAGCCAAAACCUAAAGGGCAAAAGUGGGUUUAUGACAAAGUUCCCUCGAGUGGACAACUCGAGAGUGGAAAAGCUUAUGACUGUCGAUGCACUGUUGAUCGAUCGAUCCCCAAGGCAUUUUCUGAAGGGUCUUUUAGGAGAUAAAGUCUAUGCUACCACGCAACCGUUCAAAAAAAAAGAGGUUCCAAGUGAAGGAAAGUAUGAGCGAAAUGUCAGUUAUAUAAAGCAGUAACAUGUAGCACAUAGCAAAAUAUCAUAGCAUGCUUUAGCACUAUAAAAAUAAAUAAACAUCAAAGCACAUAACCAAUAAAAGGGGAAGUGCGGAAGGGAUAAACAUGGAUAAAAUCACAAAAAAGAGGGAGGAUGAAGAGGCUAACACGUAAACAUAAAACAUGAUAUAAGUAAUAAAGGGAAAAGAGAUAAAGUAAUUACGAAGAAAUAAAACAAAAAAAGGUAAUAGAAUCUCACAUAAAAUACAAACUCAUAAUGGUUAUAAUCUAAGAUCCCCUGCAGAGUCGUCAUUCUGUCAUGCUCCAUUUUUUGUCACAAAAAGCGAGAUUCGACCUGACUACUCUUUUGGGGCAAUUGUUUUGAAGAAAGUGUGAAGAGUCGACACCUAACGAAUUACGAAGCGUUAGGGCACCGGUCUAGGCUACUACGAACCUAUUUUGUUGUUUUGUAUUAAUUCACCAGAAAUUUGAGUAAGGGUUCAAAUUACCUCAAAAGGAAGGUGUUAGGUACCUUUUGAGGUCCACAAAGGUGAUUUCCGGCCGAAUUUGUAUUUUUUAGUGGGUAUUGUAUGUGAUAAGCAAAGGUCAAUUAUUUUAUUAUUAAUUUAAGGUUUAACUAAGUGAUAAAGUAACAAAUAAAUAAAUAUGUUAUUUUAUUGUUUCUAAUCAUUAACUAGGUGGUGAUAAAAAGGAUAACAAAUGAUAUAAAGUAGAGAAGCGAAGAGAAAGAAGGAAAAACAAUUUAUAACAAAAUAUUUAUUACUUUUAAAAACUACCCCAAGCAAACAAGCAAGUAAAGUAAAUGUAAAGAAAAGACAGAAUUCAUCAAAUCAAACAAAUAAAUAUUUUUGAUCUCAUUCGGAUCAGAACCCCAACUUGUUUAAUCCUUAUCCGACCCACUGGCCAAAUUCUUAAACAAGUAACAAUGUCAAAUGUCAUGUAAUAUCUCUGGAGAUCAUCACUUCCGAAUGACUACCCGUCCCACCCCACCUAGGCUGGUUGUCAAAUCUAAAGGCAUUCUAAGACAAGAAUAAAACUAACGUCUUUUAAAAUACCUAUCGUCCUACUUAUCGCCCAAAAGGCAUUGGGCUUUGCUAAUUCAGAAUUGUGGUCUAGACAAAAUAAAGCUAUAUUUCCUAGGACUCAAAACGCAUAAAAAAACAAGGACAUCAAAUAGCAUGUAAUGUCUCAAGUUAGCCUCCUGGUUAAUUAAAGAGUUGAUUAGGGUGAUUAACAUGCAAAACAAAUAAUUACUUAUUGUUUUGAUGUCAUUAAACUAUAUGCAUGAUAUCUAAAUGUUCAACAAUUGUUUAGUAUGACAAAAGAUAAUUGUUAAUCAUGUCUAAAUAAUGUGUUGUCAAAGUGAAGUAAAUAUGUCAAAAGUAAUGCUCAUGAAUUUCAUUGUGUAAGACGUGUUGUAAGCUAAUGACAGUGUAGGAAGUUAAAGUUACAUAUUGUAAAUUAUUACCGACAUUCAUUUUAAAUGUUGAACAGUUCAUUAACAUGCUAAAGAUGCUUUUAAAUGCUAGAAAAUGAAUUAACAUGUAGGAAUUUUUAUGUUAACAUGCUAAAAUUUUAAUAUUGAUAUGCUUAAAUUUGUAUUAAUAUGCUAAAACAUACGAUGACAUGUUUAAUUCUAAUGUUUAACAAGCUAAUAUGCAGGAAUUUAAUUUAGCAUGUCGGACGUUAGUUUGAUCCUAAAAUCAAGAUUUCUAAUCGAAUUAAUUAAUAAGUAGAUUAAAUGUCUAACCGAUUUAUGUGUUAAUAAACCCUAAGUUUGUGUGCCUAAAUGAUCCACGUAGCACGUAACACACAUAAAAACAUAAGUUGUGCCUAUCUAUACUAUUCAUAGAGCACGUAAGUCCCCGCCCCCAAGCAAUUCCCCAAAUUUAUUAUUACAUGUAGAUGUUUAUACAAUAAUUAUUACAAAUUCAAAAAUAAAAAAAUAAAAAAAUGUCUAAGUGAAAUAGCCUUAACCAUUCUCGAAUUCCGAGAAACUCUUCAUUUUACCUGAAUCUAAAAACUUAAAUCAGAACCUGUCAAACACAAGUACAUGCGCAAAAAUAUACUACCAUCUAAAUACAUUCUCAAGUCCAAAAGUUAUAAACAUCCAAAGGGAGACAUACAUGACAUUUAACAACAAACAGAGGAUCAUCAUAAUUCAGGACAAUAACUUUCAACAAUUAAAGCAUUAGGAAGACAUACCGGUAGGCGGCAACAAAUAAAAGAAAGCUCUAAUAAGUUGAAAUUCACGAUAGAAACCUCAAGCCAAGUAUUGCAAGGAGUAAAGUGUAGUAAAAAGUUUUUUUUGUAAAACUUUCUAUUGUGUAAGAGAAUGAUAGAGGAUGAAAAGCCAGUGUAAAAAAGAAGAAUGAGUCUGAUGUCCUCCCAAUAGUGAAAAAGAGUCUUGUUUUUAUAGUGGAUAGAAGAAUGAAUAAGUAAAGGACAGAAGAUAAAUCAAGGAUGAUUAUAGAAAUUAUUUUUCUUAAUUACAUAAUCAUAUCAAGAUUUAAAUAAAUCAAUCACAAUUAACAUAAUUGAUCACAUAAAAGAUUAUCCGACUUAUUUAAGGCAAGACAAAUAAGGAAGGAAAUUAAUCUCGAAAGAUUUUUUCAAACAAUAUGGUAAGGAUAAUAAAAAUUAGUCAAUUCAUCACACAUUACUUAGCCAACUAAUAUUCUCAGUUAAAUGUAAGAGUGAAUCAAGCUUACCAUGAAUAGAGAAGUAAGAAAAAAUCCAUUAUAGGCCAGCUAGAAUCAAUCACUAGUGACAUCAAAACUUUAACAAACAGCUAUCACACAAUUUCAAUAAUAAUGAAAAAAAAAUCAAACGAUCAUAUUUAGCAAGCAAAUACUAUACUAGACAGAGUUCAGAAUUAGGUGUCCCUGUGUACCCCAUUAAUUUUGAAUCAAAGACACUAAAUCAAUCACAAAUCAUAAAUCGAGAUUGAGCAUGAUUGAAGGCUAACUAAAUUUAUCCCCAACAUAACUCAUUGUGUCAAGCAAAGCCUUCAAACAAAAUGCAAUUAACAAAUCAGUGACCAUUAAUGUAAAAACUAAAAAUAAUCAUCGCUGAUAAAAUUUGGGCAUUUUUCAUAUAUGUUAGUCUAAGGGCAGAAACAAACAUGAAAUUUAAAGAAUAAUCUCAAAAAUCAAAGUCAAAUUUCACCGAUUUCAAAUCUAAGAACCUGUCUAAAAGAAUAAGGAUAGAAGAAAAGAAUAAAUUCAAAGGGAGAAACAACCUGGGACGAAUUCAAAAAAAAUCCAUCAAGAAUGUAGUGUUUUCCAACGAUGUUUGACCAGAGCUCGGCGGUGACAGUGGUUUGUUGCAUGGGGUUCGGACAUGACGGCGGCUUACCGGUAGUUGUCUUGAUUUUGCCGGUGGGCUUGAGUCGACGUGGCAGUGACAGCUGGAGCGGGGAUAAUGAUGAAGAUGAGGGAAAAGAGGUAGGGUGGCACGGCUAGUGCAAUUUCACCGGUGGCAGUGCUGAUUCGGGCUUUUACCAGUGGCUAGUCGCUUAUGCGCAUUGGUCGGCUGGAAUGGCAGUAACGGGAAGAGAAUGAAGAGAAGAUGGAGGAAGAGAGAAGAAGGUUGGGCAGCGAGGGUGUUGGCUUGGUCGGCGGUGGCUAGUUUUGUACGGUGGUUGGUGGUUGGUGGUUGGUGGUUGACAGAGGGAGCAAUGGUUGCUGGUUUUUAAAUAGAGAAAGAAGAGAGAAGGUGGAGAUUGGUGGCGGCUGAUGUUGAUUUUUUUUUCAAAA